UGUGAUAACUUCUCUGACACUACAACCAAAAUCUGUGGGUAUUCACAUUCAAAUUAACUGCUUAUCUAUCCAAUAUAAUCAAAGAGAGAUCAACUUGUGAAUAUUGAUACUAAUGGAGGACAAUAGUAAAUAAUACAUUACAAAGACACAUCAUCAUCACCACCACCACAGAUUAUAUCUAUAAGAAGGUCUCCUUUUGCUGUUUGGUGUCAAUGUCAAUGACUAAAGGUGAUGAUAGUAAUGGUGAUCAAGAACAAGAUUAACUAAUGAGUAAAACAAGAUACAAAAAGAAGCAGCAAAAAAAAUAAUCUAAAAAUCUCAGAUUACAGAGGAAGGCGACAAGUUACCAUUAUCAUCUUUCCUCUUCCGUUUUUAUACUUGAUCAUCCUGAUGAUCAAUUUUUCUUCUGUUAAACUAACCAAUCAUCUAACAAAGUGUCAACACAAACAACUCCACCACCACCAGAACAACAACAACAACAACAUCAUCAUCUAAAUCAAACAAAUAAUCAUCCCCAAAGUGAUACAACAGAGGAAAUACAAUAUAGAAACACUUUAUUAUUAAUUACAGAGUGAUUCAUUGGAUGGUGUGGAUAACAAAAUAUCAAAUGCUCUAUUAGAUUAUGAUGAUGAUGAUGAUGAUGACAGUGAUAAUGUUAUUAUGAGAAAGCCUUUUUCUACUCAACUCUCUCGUUCUCUAAGUGGUAAAAAAUGGAGUAUAGGUAAUAAGGUUUGAUAAACAGAAAACCUAUACACUUGGAAUGUUAUUCAACUGAGUCAACGAUUUAUUUGUGGAGAAGAUCAAAGUUACAGUGACUACCAAAAGAGAUGAUAUUGGAAACGUACAGGUUACCUGGAAGAAAAGAACAGUCAGUUAAAUGCGAAAAUGGUUAAAGAUGGAGAGACUUUACUGCUCUCUCUCUCUCUCUCUCUUUUCUACGUUCAGUUAAUACUUUAUUUACCUGAAUCUCUUUCCCAGUUUACCUAUUUCUUUUUUUUAUUUUCUCUUUUCUUCUCUUUCUAUUCCAACGAAAAGGUUACUCUUGCAUCUCUCCAUCUUGGUUUUUAUUCUUAACCACCACUUGGGUAAACGGUGAGUUGUUUUUGUUUUGUAGAAAAAAAAGAAGAAGAGAAAAUCAAAUGAAAAGUAAGCCAGAUGACGAUUGAAUCCAAUAAGAAGGAGGAUAAAUAACAACCUGAACAGGGACGUAAACAACAGACUCUGUGUAUUCACUUCCUGAGGUGCUUUCGGUCAUCAUCAUCUCAUUAUACUCUUAUCAUCAUCUUCACUUUAAACAUUGAAAAACACUUUCACGAUCGUUGAUUCAUCUAAUUGUUUACACUUCUGAAUGGUUGGAAAAAAGCUGAGCAAUAAAAUAUAUAAAUCGUUUCACCAUGGAAAGUAAUUAAUUCAUAUUAAUUACACUGGAAACAAUCAAUUAAUCAUGAGAGAGAGAGAGAGCAAAAUACCGAAGGCAAAAAAGGAUGAAAAAAUAAGGUAACCAUUGAGACCCGAUGAAAGUGAAACUUGAAUAAUGAAACUAUUAAGGUUAUAUGAAUGAAUGAAUUGGGAUGAUUAUGUUAUCACCAUGAAUAUGAAUUGAUGGUGGAUUUUUUUAUUUGCCCACCAUGAGAAAUGAUAAACAAUCUGUUUGAAAUGAAAUGAUAACUGAGUGGGAAAAACAGUUUCCACUGUUGAAAAAAAAGUUCCGCAGUGGGAAAAGUUUUGAUUCAUAUUUUGAUGAUGAAGUUAAAGCAAGUGGAAAGUGAGAUUGAUAAAUGAUUGGGAUGCGGAAGAGACAAAAAAAAACGUUAUCACUUUUUUCCUAUGUCCUUUUAUCAUCAUUAUGGACAAGAUGAUAUUGAUGAGGAUGAGGAUGAGGAUGAUAAAUGAUAUAACUGUAAACCGAUGAUUCAGAAUGUAAAUUUUGUUUCGUAACAAAUUGUUGUUUAUAUUUACGAUUAAUGUUACAUGAUGAUGAUGAUGAUGAUGAUGAUAAUUGGGAUUGAACACCUUUGACUUUAAUGAUGAUAGUGACUCUCUGAUGAUCAUCAAUCAUCUGUAAAUAAUGAUGAUGAUAAUGAGGUGAAAAUGUUUGACUUGGAAAGUGAUGAUAAUGAUGAUGAGGAUAAACAGUUAGUUUUUGGUGACCUUUUUGGGCUUUGAUAAAAAGAGUUGAAAGUUGAUAUAUAUUGAUAACGAGGUGGAGAAAAGGUUGAUGAUGAAGGAUGAUAAAAGUAUGGAGAGUGGGAGGAUGAUGAUGAUAAUGAUGAAGAUGGAGGAUUGUAAAGGAAGGGAGGAGUUAAGGAUUGAAGGACUAAGGGAUAACUAAUAGUGGUCAUUUUGAUUUAUAACUGUUGUUGGUCAGUCAGUGAAUCUCAAUUAAUGGAGGAGAGAUAGAGAGAGUGAGUGAGAGAGGUGAUGGUGAUGGUGAUGGUGGUUAACCAUCAUCUUCAUUAUCAUUUAAAGGAUGAAAUUGAAGAUAAAAUUAUCUUCUUCAUCUUCUACUCUUAAACCCACCCCACCUCGAUUCUCCUCCUCUAUUGGAUUAACUGUUAAAUUAGAUUUUGACAAAAAGGCUUUCCGAUUGACCUUAACCCUUAACUGACCUUCACUAACCUAACAUUUGGUCAUCAUUUAUUUAUAACUGACCAUUGGUCAGUAAAAGUAUUAUAUUUAUCAUUAUUGUCUCCAUUAGAUGAUGAUAUCAUAUGAUUAGUUAAUUGUGUUUUCCGUUUUACUUGAAACAAUUAAAACUUUUCCCUUUCAAUUGUUAAUCUAAAGUUAAUCUUGGAUUAUGAUUUUAAUUGUACUUGACUUUUGUUAUUUUAUUAUUAAAUCAUAUUGAUUG